AGCAGCCGCGGUAAUUCCAGCUCCAAUAGCGUAUAUUAAAGUUGUUGCAGUUAAAAAGCUCGUAGUUGAAUUUCGGGAUCAAAGAAUCGGUCAUGCCUUGGUAUGUACUGGUUUUAUUGGUUCUCACCUUCUAAAGAACCAUGAUGUCAUUCAUUUGAUGUUAUGGGGAAUUAGGACUGUUACCUUGAAAAAAUUAGAGUGUUUAAAGCAAGCUUACGCUUGAAUACAUUAGCAUGGAAUAAUGAAAUAGGACAUCAGAUUCUAUUUUGUUGGUUUCUAGGAUCGAUGUAAUGAUUAAUAGGGAUAGUUGGGGGCAUUAGUAUUCAAUUGUCAGAGGUGAAAUUCUUGGAUUUAUUGAAGACUAACUACUGCGAAAGCAUUUGCCAAGGAUGUUUUCAUUAAUCAAGAACGAAAGUUAGGGGAUCGAAGACGAUCAGAUACCGUCGUAGUCUUAACCAUAAACUAUGCCGACUAGGGAUCGGAUGAUGUUAAUUUUUUUAAUGACUCAUUCGGCGCCUUA
rnacentral:misc_RNA from 1 species